rnacentral:lncRNA from 1 species
GCUGACGCUGCCGGGCUCUUGUUAGCCCUGGUAGGCGCUGACUGUGGGUGCAGGAAGGGCUUUCCCAGGGCAGAUACUGGUGUUUCUUGGUGGAAGAGGGGACUCUCAGGCCCUCAUGGCGCCCUAGCCACACUGCCUUUCGUGGCUGGGUCUCUGCCACCUUGUCUGUCCACCGUCUUCUAGCUGGAGACGAAAACCCAUGUCCAUGAGGAUGAAGAGGCUUACAGAGGGACACUGCUUGCCUCUAGGUAGGGGAGCAAUACGUGGGCUGGGCCCCCUGUUGCUGAUGGGGAACUCCUGCCAUGGUCCCAUUUCCACUCGGUCUUUCAUGGAGGAGUGGAGCAUCGGCCUACAGGGACAAAGUCGUCCUCAGAACAGCCCUCACCAGGGAGUUGCUCCUGUGGCCUCUUCUCGCACUGGAGGAUCCAUGUGGACAGGGUGCGCGCUUUCCUGACGGAGUCCCUACCUCACACCAUCUUCCUAGGUGUGCAGCAUCACUGAGAAUCCUAAAGACUGUUUGGAAACUAAAUUAAGUCAAACCACAUAGCUGUACCUGGGAACAACCACUCCGUCAGCACAGACCUUCUGGGUGCCUACCAUGUGCUGGGCAUGGUUCUAGAUGCAAGGGCAUUUGGAGAAGAGACAGAAGUAAAAAUGCCUGUUUCUGUGGAGCUUCCUCUCUAAAUGAGGUGGGCAGUAAAUCAAAAGUCAUGCACAGUAUAAGAAUGAGUGUCAGGUGCUGAUAGGUGCUAUAGGAAUAAAAUGUAGGGGCUUCAUAGGUAGAUUUUGGGGGGUUUCAAGUUUAGAUGAAGUGGCCAGGGAAGGAUUUCUUGUGAAAAGAGACGGCAUCACUGAGUAAAGCCCUAGAGGAGAAAGGGGGAUUGUUGUGUAGAUAUCGGGGAGAAACACACUCUAGGAGGA